rnacentral:rRNA from 1 species
GAUGAACGCUGGCGGCGUGCCUAAUACAUGCAAGUCGAACGCUGGGACGAGGAGCUUGCUCCUCUUAUGUUAGCGGCGGACGGGUGAGUAACGCGUAGAUAACCUGCCUUUUAGCCUGGGAUAACUACUGGAAACGGUAGCUAAUACCGCAUAAUAUUUUGAGCCGCAUGGUUCAUAAUUGAAAGACGCUAUUGCUGCCCUUCAUAGAUGGCUCCCCGCUGCAUUACCUAGUUGGUAAGUUAAAGGCUUACCAAGGCAACGAUGCAUAGCCGACCUGGGAGGGGGAUCGCCCACACUGGAACUGAGACACGCUCCAGACUCCUACGGGAGGCAGCAGUAGGGAAUCUUCGGCAUGGGGGGAAAGCCUGCCGGAGCAAGGCCGCGUGAGUGAUGAAGGUCUUCGGAUCGUAAAACUCUGUUAUUAGGGAAGAACAUAUGUGUAAGGAACUGUGCACAUCUUGACGGUACCUAAUCAGAAAGCCACGGCUAACUACGUG